AGGACGAACGCUGGCGGCGUGCUUAACACAUGCAAGUGGAGCGACGAACCAGGGCUUGCCCUGGGGCAGAGCCGCGAACGGGUGAGUAACACGUGGGUAACCUACCCCGAUGAUUGGGACAACCCGAGGAAACUCGGGCUAAUACCAAAUGUGCUCGCAGUCUUUGAGGACUACGAGUAAAGAUAGCUUCGGCCUUCGCAUCGGGACGGCCCGCGGCCCAUUAGCUUGUUGGUGGGUAAAGGCCUACCAAGGCGACGAUGGGUAGCUGGUCUGAGAGGACGAUCAGCCACGACUGGGACUGGAGACACGGACCCAGACUCCGUACGGGAGCAGCAGUGGGAAUCGUUGCGACAAUGCGACGAAA
rnacentral:rRNA from 1 species